rnacentral:SRP_RNA from 1 species
CCUGCCUGCCCUCCCAGAUACUAUAUUUGGAAGGGUGAAGCAGAGGGAUUGCUUUUGCCCAGGAGUUCCAGGCUGUAGAGUGCUAACCCCAUUGGUUGUCCACACUAAAUUCAGCAUCAGCAUGGUGACCUCUUGGAAGUGAGGGACCACCAGUUUGUUUGAGAAAGGGUGAGUCCCUCCAGGUCAGAAACAGAACAGAUCAAAGGAUCAAAGCUUCCCUGUUGAUCCAUAGUGGGUCUGCACCUUUGAGUAAGCCCUGCACUCUAGCCUGGGCUACAGAAAGAAUCAGUCUCA